rnacentral:tRNA from 1 species
CUGGUGAGCUGGCGCAGGGACUCGCGCACCGGGGUCUUGGAGACCUCGAACUCCUGGGCCAGUGCCGGUUCGAUGAUCAGGCUUCCCGGG